rfam:Bacteroides sp. An322 An322_contig_54, whole genome shotgun sequence.
CUGAAAGUAAGAAAGGGCGCACGGCGGAUGCCUAGGCUCUCGGAGGCGAUGAAGGACGCGGCAAGCUGCGAAAAGCCGCGGGGAGGCGCACACAGCCUUUGAUCCGCGGAUUUCCGAAUGGGACAACCCGUCAUCCUGAAGGGAUGACAUCCAUCAGGGAUGGAGGCCAACGCGGGGAACUGAAACAUCUUAGUACCCGCAGGAAAAGAAAACAACAGUGAUUCCCCCAGUAGUGGCGAGCGAACGGGGAACAGCCCAAACCGCACGUGUUACGGCAUGUGCGGGGUAGUAGGACCGCGCCAUCGCAAGACGUCAGGGGAAUGGAAGGCUCUGGAAAGUGCCGCCAUAGAGCAUGACAGCUGCGUACAUGAACCCUGAUUAAGCGUAGCGGCAUCCUGAGUAGCGCGGGACACGAGGAAUCCUGCGUGAAUCCGCCGGGACCAUCCGGCAAGGCUAAAUACUCCCGAGAGACCGAUAGCGGACCAGUACCGUGAGGGAAAGGUGAAAAGCACUUCGGACAGAAGAGUGAAAUAGUACCUGAAACCGUGCGCCUACAAGCGGUCGGAGCGCGCAAGCGUGACGGCGUGCCUUUUGCAUAAUGAACCUACGAGUUGCCUUGCAUGGCGAGGUUAAGCGCAACGAUGCGCGCAGCCGAAGCGAAAGCGAGUCUGAAGAGGGCGUUCAGUCAUGCGUGGCAGACGCGAAACCGAGUGAUCUACCCUUGUCCAGGAUGAAGUCCGGGUAACACCGGAUGGAGGUCCGCACCAAUAAGCGUUGAAAAGCUUCUGGAUGAGGUGAGGGUAGGAGUGAAAGGCCAAUCAAACUCGGAGAUAGCUCGUACUCCCCGAAAUGCAUUUAGGUGCAGCCUCAAGCCAAAGGCGUCAAGAGGUAGAGCGACUGAUAGGAUGCGAGGGCUUCACCGCCUGUCAAGUCCUGACAAACUCCGAAUGCUUGACGUCCGUUCCUUGGGAGUGAGGGCAUGGGUGCUAAGGUCCGUGCCCGAGAGGAGAACAAUCCGGACCGCCGGCUAAGGCCCCGGAGUGACAGCUAAGUUAGUCUAACGAAGUCCGGCCCCCGAGACAGCUAGGAUGUUGGCUUGGAAGCAGCCAUUCAUUUAAAGAGUGCGUAACAGCUCACUAGUCGAGGUGCUGGGCGUGGAUAAUAAUCGGGUAUCAAGCUGUCCGCCGAAGCCGCGGGAUACACAGUAUCGGUAGGGGAGCAUUCCAUUCUGCGCCGAAGGCGUUCCGUAAGGUACGCUGGAGCGUAUGGAAAAGCAAAUGUAGGUAUAAGUAACGAUAAAGGGGGCGUGAAACCCCCUCGCCGCAAGACUAAGGUUUCCUGAUCAACGCUAAUCGGAUCAGGGUAAGUCGGGACCUAAGGCUCAGCCGAACGGCGAGGCCGAUGGCAGAAACGGUCAAGAUUCCGUUACUGCCCUAUGGUGUGACGCGGUGACGCGGACGUGACACUGCCGCCGUCUGACGGAAUAGACGGUUUAAGGGUGUAGGAGUAGAUUCCCGCAGGCAAAUCCACGGGAAGAUCCGAACCUGAAAGUACGGAGCGCCCUCCGGGGCAAUCCGAGAGCGCAGGUAAGCAUUCCGCCGAGAAAACCCGCUAAACUCCAGCCAUGGGGCACCCGUACCGCAAACGGACACACGUAGUCGGGUUGAAUAUACUAAGGCGCUUGGGUUAAUCACGGUUAAGGAACUAGGCAAAUUGACCCUGUAACUUCGGGAAAAAGGGUCCCUACCCAGUGAUGGGAGGGCGCAGAGAAUAGGUCCAGGCAACUGUUUACCAAAAACACAGGGCUGUGCGAAUUCGAAAGAAGCUGUAUACAGCCUGACACCUGCCCGGUGCUGGAAGGUUAAGAGGAGAGGUCAUCUCACGAGAAGCCUUGAAUUGAAGCCCCAGUAAACGGCGGCCGUAACUAUAACGGUCCUAAGGUAGCGAAAUUCCUUGUCGGGUAAGUUCCGACCUGCACGAAUGGUGUAAUGAUCCGGACA